GAUGAACGCUAGCGGGAGGCCUAACACAUGCAAGCCGAGCGGUAGAGUCUCUUCGGAGACUUGAGAGCGGCGCACGGGUGCGGAACACGUGUGCAACCUGCCUUUAUCUGGGGGAUAGCCUUUCGAAAGGAAGAUUAAUACCCCAUAAUAUACUGGAUGGCAUCAUUCGGUAUUGAAAACUCCGGUGGAUAGAGAUGGGCACGCGCAAGAUUAGAUAGUUGGUGAGGUAACGGCUCACCAAGUCAGCGAUCUUUAGGGGGCCUGAGAGGGUGAUCCCCCACACUGGUACUGAGACACGGACCAGACUCCUACGGGAGGCAGCAGUGAGGAAUAUUGGACAAUGGGUGAGAGCCUGAUCCAGCCAUCCCGCGUGAAGGACGACGGCCCUAUGGGUUGUAAACUUCUUUUGUACAGGGAUAAACCUAUUUACGUGUAAAUAGCUGAAGGUACUGUACGAAUAAGCACCGGCUAACUCCGUGCCAGCAGCCGCGGUAAUACGGAGGGUGCAAGCGUUAUCCGGAUUUAUUGGGUUUAAAGGGUCCGUAGGCUGAUUUGUAAGUCAGUGGUGAAAUCUCACAGCUUAACUGUGAAACUGCCAUUGAUACUGCAAGUCUUGAGUGUUGUUGAAGUAGCUGGAAUAAGUAGUGUAGCGGUGAAAUGCAUAGAUAUUACUUAGAACACCAAUUGCGAAGGCAGGUUACUAAGCAACAACUGACGCUGAUGGACGAAAGCGUGGGGAGCGAACAGGAUUAGAUACCCUGGUAGUCCACGCCGUAAACGAUGCUAACUCGUUUUUGGGUUUGCGGAUUCAGAGACUAAGCGAAAGUGAUAAGUUAGCCACCUGGGGAGUACGAACGCAAGUUUGAAACUCAAAGGAAUUGACGGGGGCCCGCACAAGCGGUGGAUUAUGUGGUUUAAUUCGAUGAUACGCGAGGAACCUUACCAAGGCUUAAAUGGGAAAUGACAGGUUUAGAAAUAGACUUUUCUUCGGACAUUUUUCAAGGUGCUGCAUGGUUGUCGUCAGCUCGUGCCGUGAGGUGUUAGGUUAGGUCCUGCAACGAGCGCAACCCCUGUCACUAGUUGCCAUCAUUAAGUUGGGGACUCUAGUGAGACUGCCUACGCAAGUAGAGAGGAAGGUGGGGAUGACGUCAAAUCAUCACGGCCCUUACGCCUUGGGCCACACACGUAAUACAAUGGCCGGUACAGAGGGCAGCUACACAGUGAUGUGAUGCAAAUCUCGAAAGCCGGUCUCAGUUCGGAUUGGAGUCUGCAACUCGACUCUAUGAAGCUGGAAUCGCUAGUAAUCGCGCAUCAGCCAUGGCGCGGUGAAUACGUUCCCGGGCCU
rnacentral:rRNA from 1 species